UACGGGGGGGGCAAGCGUUGUUCGGAAUUACUGGGCGUAAAGGGCUCGUAGGCGGCCAACUAAGUCGGACGUGAAAUCCCUGGGCUCAACCCAGGAACUGCGUCCGAUACUGGCAGGCUUGAAUCCGGGAGAGGGAUGCGGAAUUCCAGGUGUAGCGGUGAAAUGCGUAGAUAUCUGGAGGAACACCGGUGGCGAAGGCGGCAUCCUGGACCGGUAUUGACGCUGAGGCGCGAAAGCCAGGGGAGCAAACGGG
rnacentral:rRNA from 1 species